rnacentral:lncRNA from 1 species
AAAUCAGGUCUAGAAAUCAAACAAAGGGAGCAAUACCAACACUGUCUUAAUUUCCAACAGGACCAACACAAAAAACAGGAGCUUCAGGCUAUACACUAUUUAAAAACUGGCAGCACCACAGCAGCAAAUUGGCAGGAUACAUGGCAUACUACAUGUUUUGAGAGGAAAAAAGAAGAAACGUAUAUUCACAAGACACCUAGCUGGCGCUGUAUACUACAAAAAAUCAUCAGAAAGUAUCGGAUAAAACACACAUCUAUACGAAAUUUAGUGGCCUUCUUCUCAACGGAAGUAAGGUAAUUUUUGUUUCGGUUAAUACAAAUCAAGGCAGUCAAGGAACUUGACCAGACAGUGAGGUAAUCAAUCAUCAGUUCACAUUGCACUAACUUCAAAUCAACAAGAAAAUAAACCUUGACGCUCUAUAAGUCAUCUCAGAGCUACAUGUUUAUCGCUUCUCUUCAUUUGCUAAAUUUUAGGAGCAUUCAAUUGAAAUUUCCCAACUCUCCAUUAUUUUCCUACAUUUUCCACAAACCAAACAGGUUUAUAUCACUCCAAACUGAUCACCACAGCUUAAAUUUCCCUUGUAUACUUAAUUUAGUUUUUUUUUUAAAAAAAGAGGGGAAAAGUAAGGAAAAGAACUCACCAAAGAACUGAUUGUGAGUAGCUGUAUUUGUUCUAUGUGAUGUUGAAGGCUCCAUGUCCCUUGAACUUGAGCUCCGAAUCGCCAUUCUCUGUAGUGCUCCUAUCCUGCCUUUGCGCUAGGGUUUAUAUACAAAGAGAACUGGGUGGUAAUACACAGUUUUAAACAUAUACAAAGAGCGUGCUGGGCCUUUGUUGGCUUUGGCGGGUUGGUCAACAGAGCGGUCAGCGUCGAUGAGAUCUUUUGUGGGAAUGAGAGAAA